UAACGAAUAUUCCGCAAUGGACGAAAGUCUGACGGAGCAAUGCCGCGUGCAGGAUGAAGCGGUUUCGCCGUGUAAACUGCUGUCAGGGGCAGGAAAAACUGAUCCGCCCCAAAGGAAGAGACGGCUAACCCUGUGCCAGCAGCCGCGGUAAUACAGGGGUCUCGAGCGUUAAUCGGAAUCACUGGGCUUAAAGGGUGCGUAGGCGGAUCCGUAAGCGCUUUGUGAAAUCCCCCGGCUCAACCGGGGAACUGCAGGGCGAACUGCGGAUCUUGAGGAAACUAGAGGCCGGUAGAACGAUUGGUGGAGCGGUGGAAUGCGUAGAUAUCAAUCGGAAUGCCAAAAGUGAAGACAGCCGGCUGGGGUUUUCCUGACGCUGAGGCACGAAAGCGUGGGGAGCAAACCGGAUUAGAUACCCCUGUAGUCCCUGAGCGGGCUGGCAAGGCGCAU
rnacentral:rRNA from 1 species